AUCCAGCUGACGAGUCCUAAAUAGGACAAAAUGCACUAUCUGGAU
rnacentral:hammerhead_ribozyme from 1 species